GCUCCGUUAGCUCAGUUGGUAGAGCGGCGGCCUCUUAAGCCGAUGGUCGGGGGUUCAAGUCCCUCACGGAGCAC
rnacentral:tRNA from 1 species